rnacentral:rRNA from 1 species
GAAAAGUCCGGGGAUGACUUGUGGAUAGGAGUGAAAGGCUAAUCAAGCUCGGAGAUAGCUGGUUCUCCUCGAAAGCUAUUUAGGUAGCGCCUCGCGUAUUGCCAUUGGGGGUAGAGCACUGUUUGGGCUAGGGGGUCAUCCCGACUUACCAACCCCAUGCAAACUCCGAAUACCAAUGAGUAUGAGCGCGGGAGACACACGGCGGGUGCUAACGUCCGUCGUGGAAAGGGAAACAACCCAGACCGUCAGCUAAGGUCCCAAAGUUACAGUUAAGUGGGAAACGAUGUGGGAAGGCUCAGACAGCUAGGAGGUU